CACGUAGUUAGCCGUGGCUUUCUGGUUAGGUACCGUCAAGGUACCGCCCUGUUCGAACGGUACUUGUUCUUCCCUAACAACAGAACUUUACGACCCGAAGGCCUUCUUCGUUCACGCGGCGUUGCUCCGUCAGACUUUCGUCCAUUGCGGAAGAUUCCCUA
rnacentral:rRNA from 1 species